CUUAGCUUUCCAGUCCGCUGCUUUUCAUCUGUUGAUUUGCAUAUUUCUAUACUUGUACUUCAUCUCUUCAUUUGCACAAAGGUUUCAACACUUCAAGUUCGUCAUUCUCUACUGUAUGUAAUAUGUGCAUUGCACUGCUCUGUUGCAGGAUAUGGCACCAGAUACUUUCCUGAAAUUUCUGUUCAGAAAUGCAAGCGCAAGAUUGUGACAAAAAACAGGGCGAAGAAGGGAAAGGGAGUUCACGUACCUGUAAAAAACGAGACGGGAAAAUGCCACUGGUACACUUGUUUAUUUUAGGCAGUUGGUGCACUUGAUCUGGAGUUCACUCGGUGAUCUCACUUAAAAGCACUAGCAGUCCGCUGUAGUUCACAUCGCUCUAGCACUUGCAGCUCCAUCUUCAGCGCGGAGACCUCGUUUUGCAGAGAUGCUGCUAGGGGUAAACCACCAGGUUCUGCAGUGUUGUUCUACCGUUGUUACGG